rnacentral:rRNA from 1 species
AUUGAACGCUGGCGGCAUGCUUUACACAUGCAAGUCGAACGGCAGCGCGGGGCAACCUGGCGGCGAGUGGCGAACGGGUGAGUAAUACAUCGGAACGUACCCAGAAGUGGGGGUUAACGUAGCGAAAGUUACGCUAAUACCGCAUACGUUCUACGGAAGAAAGUGGGGGACCUUCGGGCCUCAUGCUUUUGGAGCGGCCGAUGUCUGAUUAGCUAGUUGGUAGGGUAAAGGCCUACCAAGGCGACGAUCAGUAGCUGGUCUGAGAGGACGACCAGCCACACUGGGACUGGGACACGGCCCAGACUCCUACGGGAGGCAGCAGUGGGGGAUUUUGGACAAUGGGCGCAAGCCUGAUCCAGCAAUGCCGCGUGAGUGAAGAAGGCCUUCGGGUUGUAAAGCUCUUUUGUCAGGGAAGAAACGGCUGAGGUUAAUACCUUUGGCUAAUGACGGUACCUGAAGAAUAAGCACCGGCUAACUACGUGCCAGCCGCCGCAGUAACAC